AACUGAAUUCAAAUGCAGUUGGUUUGGCUUCUCUGUAUGGGUCUCGUUCGCUUAACCCAAGAAUUCAAAACGUUUGAUAAUGGUUUGAUACAUACAUCUUCCAAGUAAGAUUAGCACGAUUCGAUGACUGAGAUGACAUCAAUUCAAAAUACUUCUCAUGGAAAAUGUGAUUACAUGUAGUAUUCAGAGGACGUUCUCGAUUAAGGUGAAAACGGAUCUAAAAUAUAGUGUCACAAAAAUAAGACGGAAGAUGUGAAAGAGUGACUACAAAUAGAAAAAAAAAGUCAGUUAUGUUAUUCGACCUCUAGUGCCUCAUCUAAACGCACUCUAAGUUUCAAGUGAGCAUCGGUAUUAGCAAUUUGAAGAUCAACUGUUAACGAUCAGUUUAAUCAUUGUGAGACAGGCAUGGCCCAAUCUAUCUUUGACGCUUUGACAGGAGUCACCUUGGACAACCCAACAGUUCAGUCGCUUCUUGAAACUCAAGCGCUGUUGACUGGCAUUGAUCAUGCUGGCAUCGAUCACGAUCAGGCGGACUUAUUUCAAUGUGGGAAAUGUAAAAGUCAAUUCACAUCGCUUCAGAUAUUUUUACUGCAUAAAAAACAGCACCAGAAACUGCAGGAGCAGGCGCUGGAUCUCACUCAGUUCCUUGGGAAUCAUGACAGCCGUAUCACCCAAGGGGCAAAUAAUUUGCAAGAAACUACAACGCGGUUUAAUUCACAAGAAUCAUUCAUUCAAGAUGAUCCCGCUAUUGGUGAGCCUAUCAUACUUGAGGAAACCGAUAUGCUGUUCAGCAUGGAACAAGAGGGUGCAAGUUACUUGAGUCAGGCUUCAGGUUUCAAUGUACCAAUCAUCCUUACCUCUGAGACUCUGGGGACAUUUGCAAGCCCCAUUAUCAGCUCUGAAAAUGAAGCCAUAGAUGAAUUGAAGGAAAUUCAAUUGCCGACUGACGAUCGUUUGCUGCAGGAAGAAUCCUCCAUGGCUACCAACAAUCUCGUAUCCUAUCGACAGAACAAUGACGAAGAGGAAGGUACUACGGGUAGUCAAAAUCUAAAGUACAAAUGCAGCUACUGCGAUAAACAGUUUUCCAAAAAAUUCUACUGGCAGCAACACGAGAGAUCUCACACUGGAGAAAAACCAUAUCAGUGUGUAGUUUGCGGACGAGCAUUUGCACAGAAAUCAAACGUCAAGAAACACAUGUCCUCCCACAAAGUUUGGCCUGGUACUGCGAUCCAUUCGCUUCCACCUGAUACACCGACGGAUGGAGACAUGGACAGGACUUAUCACUGUCAAUUCUGCAAAGAGAUUUUUGACUCUUAUAAAGCGCUUAAGGGGCACCUAAUCGUCUCUCAUUUGACGCUAAAAGUAUACAAGUGCGUUCAGAGCAGUUGUAGCAUGAUGUUUCCUGAGCUAGAAGACUUUCUUGAACACACGCGCAAUCAUAAACGUUCAGAGUAUCGAUGCCACGUUUGCGGAGAGGUCUUCAACACCCUCUCUGAUCUUGGAUUACAUCAAUACGCCCACUCUUUCCAGAAGCAAAAGACCACAGAAAAAUAUUACUGCUGUUCGGUCUGCAAAUCGUCUUUUGCAAAUCUAGAGGCAUUACAGCAUCACACUGAGACAACAACGCAUGAUUACGUGUGUUCUCACUGCGGAAAAAGUUUUCCUGUCGAAAGGUACCUCCGAAGACAUUUGAAAACGCACGUAACAUCAGCUCGCUUUACCUGCAAAGACUGUGGAAAAGCCUUUAAAACUGAACAAUACUUGUCUAAUCACAGGCUCAUACAUAGCGAAGACACACCAUUUCCGUGUCCACACUGUCCAUCGAGGUUCAAAAGAAAAGACCGGCUCGGUCGCCACAUGUUGAUUCACGAUUUGACGAAGCGUUUGAAAUGCCCUUUCCGAGGAUAUUUGGGUUGCAUGAGUGAAUUUUCUCGUCCGGAUAAGCUAAAACGCCAUUUGUUAACUCACAGUAACAUCAAACGGUACAGUUGCAGUCACUGUAACCGGAAUUUUCAUCGCGCACAAGCGCUUAAACAUCACGAAUCAAACAAACACAGCGUCAAGUGCGAUGUUUGUACACACGCAUUCAAGUCCAAAGAUCAGCUAUUAAUUCAUAACUGUGACGGGACAUCAGCUGACGUUAAACGUCAUCCUGGUUUGCAACUACCGAGGAAAGCCUUGGCCAGUUUUAAGCCCCGGAAACCAACACCGCGCAGACAGACCUUAUCAAAACUAACAAUCAUCAAUCUUGAGAAAGAUAAGCCAGGAAAAGCACGAACCGAAGAGCAGCAAACGAAGGACGUGCUACGACAGACUUUGAAUCCAGAUACUGCAGAUUACAGGAUUUAUAUAAAAAAUGAAAACAAGAUAAAUACUAAAAAUAUAUUGAAAUCCGCUGGUGUAGUUAUGCCUUGUCCAGUCGACAGACAAGCUGAAUUUCAUCAAGUCAGCAUUUAAGCCUGUCGACGAAGAUAUUUAGUAUGACCAAUUUCAUGUAAGAUGAGUAUCGGGUGAGAAAAUUUUUGGUCAGAAAAGACACAGAACAAGCACAAAACCUCAUGAUGAGGAAUGUGAACAAGUCUUUGCAUAUUCAACAAUUUACCUUUGCAGUAAUAAGUGUAUUAACCCAUUUGUUACAUGUUUACAGAUGUUGCGUACAGGUAUGCAAACACAUGGAAAUUAUUAUUAUAAAUCGAACGUAGGAAUAUACAUGUAUAAUAUCUGAUCGCUUACGCAUCUGUGAUAAUUAUAUAUUAUAUCUUUACGUAUGAAAUAUUAUUCGUGUGUUAGUCAUUAGCUAUGUUCCAUAAAACGUGAAAAUUAAUUGAUUUUUACUCAACGUCAACUAUCCAUGAAUUCGUUGUCCAACGCUCUUAAUUACCUAUUAUAAGUUCCGACAUACUCUUUCCUUCUGAUUGGUCUUGAACGUAAUUUCUCAUUCUGUUAUCACGACCACGAAAUAGUAGGAUAUACCUUAUUUGAACGUACGUAAAAAUAAACCAAACCCGAGUAUCAAAACUUUUUGUGACUGGAAAAAAGAAAUCCGCGGAACAAUCCCUUCUGUACGUUUCGCAAAACCAGUAGAACGCGAUGAUUUUGUAGAAAAAAAUAACGUGUUUUCUUUCAAUUCAUUGUGUCGCUGGAAAAAUAUGAUCACUUGAGAUUAUAAAAUUUAUAAUCUGGGCUUUGGAUAUCUGGUCACUUACCAUUUUUGAAAAUAGCGUGUGAAAACCUUAGAGUAAUCUGAUGUUGAUUGGAAUGGCAAUUGUACUUAUUUAUGCAGAAGACGGCAACGCUCGACAUGUAAAAUGAGAUGAUCGCGAGGAACACUAAACAGACGGUUAUCUCAUGCAAGCCAUAUACCUCUUUUAGAAAUGCUACUUUCCAAAGUACACUGGACCUGCCAAAACCGAUCACCUAAGAGAUAACGUACAAUAUCAAAAGUGGACCUCUUUACCACAUCCUGACUAUCAGGGAGAGGGAAGGAAAAAGAAUUCAGCCUUAUGUACAGUGCGAACGAUCUCCUGGACGAAAACUUUGCAGUAAAGUUAGAAGACUGAAUCUACCUAGAGUAGCAAGUCAUCUGCCUCCAUCGUUUCUACCUUUUACA
rnacentral:misc_RNA from 1 species